UGCAUAUCUUUAUUGAAGAUUUUCCUGAUCAUAUUCAUACCUCAUUCAGUGUGCUUUUUUCUCCCUUUUUUUUUUCCAGGUCUCCUUUUCUUGAUUCAUUAGGUGACAUGCUGUUUGUGUGAAAACAAACCCCAGACCAUGUAUUUCUUUAGGAAUAUGAGACCCAAAUAUCUCAAAGUAGAUAACCUUAUUGUAAAUUAAAUAAUAGUAAGACUUUAUUGGAAGCAUGUGCAGGAGCAUGGAAGAUGGGAGUGGGCAUCAAUUAAAAUCUGAAGCUAUUUAAUAUGUUUGGUAGUUGAGAAAAGCCAAGAAAGCAUAGAGGAUUCCUGGUCUCUUGUGAAGUCUUGUCUGUAGACCCGGCCAUGGAUCGGUUUAGAAUCAAAAUCGGUCAAAUCCAUAUUUGACUUAAAUUGAGAAUGAAUAGGAUUAGGAUUAGAAUUGAACCGAAACCAUCCAGUUUGAUUUUGGGUCAAACCAAUUUUUUUAUUUAAAAAAAUUUUAAAUUGUUAAAUUUAAACUGUGUCGAAUCAAAUCGAAAUUCUAAUCGGGACUUAAAUAGGAAUCAAACCUCCGGGGAGUUCCGGACUAGUUCAAGGUCAUCCUUUUGAUGAACUGUGAACUGAUAAUUCCAAAUCAAUUUGAACCAGAAUCUGCCGGUUGCUGGGUCUGCUUGUCUGGCUUCAAUUAUAUAUACAUAUAUAUUAUGCAACCAAAAGAGAAAAGGAGAAAAGGGAUACGCAUAUUCUAUUCUAUCAUACAGGAAUUUGUCCAGGUUAAAGCUAAAAAAGCAAACCCACCACUUCUCUGUAUAAGUUGGAUGCUAGGGGUAAAAAGAAGAAAGGGACAAGUGUGCAUAUAUUAAUAUAUCUUAAUAAUCCUAAGUAGUGGUUAUGUCAAUAAAUUUGCUAAAAAAGGGAGACCUCUUUCCCUUACUUAAACUAGUUUGCUCCCUCCAAAUUCAAAAUAAAAACGACGAUCGUUUUAAUCCACUUCCAAAUUAAAUAAUUAUUAUAAUAAUAAUAAUUAUCAAAAGAAAUGGUGGGAUAUGGACAAUUUUGAAAAGAAAAGCCAACCAGCAGCAAUGGUCAUGCCGGACAAACCGCCAUGGACGGGGGCCAUCUUCCCAUCUCACAUGGCCCCCUAAUAAUUAUUCAAAGAUAGAUUUGAAUUUUUUAAGCAUCACUUCAUUUAAUUUGGUGAUGAGGAUAAGCAAUCAUUAUUAGUAUUACUCAAUAAAUUAUCAAUCAAACACUCCAAAUAAUAUUAUUCUAAUUAACCCCAAAUUUCAAACUUUUCAAGCUACAAACUACUAUAUUAAAAACGAAAAAAUCCUAUAGAACAUCAUAUUUUAGUUUAAGAAAAUAAAUUUAAUUUAACUUUACUUUAAAAUUUAAUUCGAAAAUAAAAAAUUCAAAUCUUAUAUACAGUAUAAAAUUUUUAUUUUAAAUUAAUAUAAAAUAAUAUAUUCUUCAUGUUUUAACAUAAAUAUGACCUAACAUGUUCCGUUCAGACAUAAAUAUUGAAUUAACAUCAAAGUUGAAUAAAUCAAAUUUAAUUUUACCCAAUAGUUAGCGGAGGACAGUAGAUCAACAUUCAGAUCAGACUUAUUUAUUUAUUUCUUAAAAUUUUUCCACAAAUAUUUACUAGAAAAGCAAUUUUCAAGCAUUUAAGCUAGAGAAAACUAAGUGUAUAUAUAUAUAUGGCUUCAAAAGUUUCAGAGUAUAUAUCUCAAAAAUCAUAAGAAAACAGUGGAGGAGAAAUCUCUGAAACUUUUGAAGCCAUCACCACCAUGCAUAAAAUGAAACAAAACUUAACGAAAGCAAGAAAAAAUAAGAGAAAAUACAUACCUGAAUAGGACUAAGCUUCCUUUG
rnacentral:misc_RNA from 1 species